UACGAGGGGUGCAAGCGUUGCUCGGAAUUAUUGGGCGUAAAGGGUAGGUAGGUGGUCUCGUUUGUCUGGGGUGAAAGCCUUGAGCUUAACUCAAGAAGUGCCUUAGAAACGGCGAGACUAGAGUCUUGGAGAGGGUCGUGGAAUUCCUGGUGUAGCGGUGAAAUGCGCAGAUAUCAGGAGGAACACCGGUGGCGAAGGCGGGUC
rnacentral:rRNA from 1 species